GACGGUGCUGUGGCCGCCGGUCUUCCCGUCGCGUCUGCCUCUCUGAGCUGAUGUCAGAUAAUCGUGGCAGUGAGGAGUAAAUUCAUCUCAUCCUCGAUGUCUUCUCUUAUCUACCCAUAGGUGACUAAUGCUCUGCUUCCUCAAUCUGAUGAAGGCCCUUGAUGAAGGCAUUGUGACGAUGAGCUUUGGACUGAGGUUGGUUGGAGCAGAGAACAUCUCUUUGUGCCUAGAACUAACUUUUAUUGCAGUUGUUUGUAUAGCGAGUUCAUGAGAUGAAUGUUGAGGUUGGUGACCAUUGAUUUAUUAUGAUUAGUUCUCAUCUGAGCAUAGGGAGAGGCAUGUUUUUGCAACAAUUUGUUGUUCAGGUAUUAGGUAUAGGCGUCUAAAAGAUUAAGGUCCUGAUUAAUUGGCUCAUUCCUAUACUGCAAUUGCCACUACAUAUCUCAUUAACAAUUACUUCUAUUUUGCUUAACUAUUAUAGAAUAUUUUGGCCGUCAAUCCAAGUGUUGCUAUUUAUAUAAUGAUAAUUACAAAG